rnacentral:misc_RNA from 1 species
GAAAUGCGAUAAGUAGUGUGAAUUGCAGAAUUCAGUGAAUCAUCGAAUCUUUGAACGCACAAUGCGCCCUUGGUAUUCCAAAGGGCAUGCCUGUUCGAGCGUCAUUUGUACCCUCAAGCUUUGCUUGGUGUUGGGCGUCUUGUCUCUAGCUUUGCUGGAGACUCGCCUUAAAGUAAUUGGCAGCCGGCCUACUGGUUUCGGAGCGCAGCACAAGUCGCACUCUCUAUCAGCAAAGGUCUAGCAUCCAUUAAGCCUUUUUUUCAACUUUUGACCUCGGAUCAGGUAGGGAUACCCGCUGAACUUAAGC